CACCGACAAGUCUUUCUGGCUCCAGUACAGCUUUCUACCAACUACACUAUACUUCUCCCUACUCCUAAUCAUUUUUCCCCUGUGCUUGUGUUUCACAUAUACACCCCCCCCCCCAAUAUAUAGAGAGGAAGUGGAAUCUCUUUUUUGAUGAACAGGAGUAAGGCAAAUUGGGCUAAAAUCUAAAUCAGAAUGUGUGAAGAGAAGUGAUAAGGCUGGACAGGAUAAUGACCUCUAAAUUGGAAAGGACAGAAUGAAAAUAACUAACAUUGAGUUAAUACCCGAAACAUUUAAAGAGAUAGUAAAAAUCACCUAGAUGCCCCCGAUAAAUUCAAGUCACUCUGCCCAGAUGAGCCACAGCCCCAGGAACUGAAA